UCAUCGAUUAUAAAAUUUGUAGCU
rnacentral:miRNA from 1 species